rnacentral:rRNA from 1 species
GGAUUACUGGGCGUAAAGCGAGUGUAGGUGGCUCAUUAAGUCACAUGUGAAAUCCCCGGGCUUAACCUGGGAACUGCAUGUGAUACUGGUGGUGCUAGAAUAUGUGAGAGGAAAGCGGAAUUCCCAGCGUAGCGGUGAAAUGCGUAGAUAUUGGGAGGAACACCAGUGGCGAAGGCGGCUUUCUGGACUGUAACUGACGCUGAGGCUCGAAAGCCAGGGGAGCGAACGGGAUUAGAUACCCCGGUAGUCCUGGCCGUAAACGAUGAAUGCUAGGUGUAGGAGGUAUCGACCCCUCCUGUGCCGGAGUUAACGCAAUAAGCAUUCCGCCUGGGGAGUACGGUCGCAAGACUGAAACUCAAAGGAAUUGACGGGGGCCCGCACAAGCGGUGGAGUAUGUGGUUUAAUUCGACGCAACGCGAAGAACCUUACCAGGGCUUGACAUUGAGUGAAAGAGCUAGAGAUAGCUACCUCCCUUCGGGGACACGAAAACAGGUCGACGCGGCCG